rnacentral:rRNA from 1 species
CCUACGGGAGGCAGCAGUGAGGAAUAUUGGUCAAUGGGCGCGAGCCUGAACCAGCCAAGUAGCGUGAAGGAUGACUGCCCUACGGGUUGUAAACUUCUUUUAUAAAGGAAUAAAGUGAGGCACGUGUGCCUUUUUGUAUGUACUUUAUGAAUAAGGAUCGGCUAACUCCGUGCCAGCAGCCGCGGUAAUACGGAGGAUCCGAGCGUUAUCCGGAUUUAUUGGGUUUAAAGGGAGCGUAGAUGGGUUGUUAAGGCAGGUGGUAAAGUUUGCGGGUCAAACGUAAAAUUGCAAUUGAUACUGGCAGUCUUGAGUACAGGUGAGGUAGGCGGAAUUCGUGGUGUAGCGGUGAAAUGCUUAGAUAUCACGAAGAACUCCGAUUGCGAAGGCAGCUUACUAAACUGCCACUGACAUUGAUGCUCGAAGGUGUGGGUAUCAAACAGGAUUAGAUACCCCAGUAGUC